rnacentral:rRNA from 1 species
AUUGAACGCUGGCGGCAGGCUUAACACAUGCAAGUCGAGCGGGGUGAUGGUGCUCGCACUAUCACUUAGCGGCGGACGGGUGAGUAAUGCUUAGGAAUCUGCCUAUUAGUGGGGGACAACAUCUCGAAAGGGAUGCUAAUACCGCAUACGUCCUACGGGAGAAAGCAGGGGACCACUUGUGACCUUGCGCUAAUAGAUGAGCCUAAGUCGGAUUAGCUAGUUGGUGGAGUAAAGGCCUACCAAGACGACGAUCUGUAGCGGGUCUGAGAGGAUGAUCCGCCACACUGGGACUGAGACACGGCCCAGACUCCUACGGGAGGCAGCAGUGGGGAAUAUUGGACAAUGGGGGGAACCCUGAUCCAGCCAUGCCGCGUGUGUGAAGAAGGCCUUAUGGUUGUAAAGCACUUUAAGCGAGGAGGAGGCUCUUUUGGUUAAUACCCAAGAUGAGUGGACGUUACUCGCAGAAUAAGCACCGGCUAACUCUGUGCCAGCCGCCGCGGUAA